UUGUUUGGGUUUACGCAUCUCAAGAAUGAAAAACAAGAGAUAUAUUCUGUUGAGGAUUAUUUCGAAUAAGAAGCGAAGGAGAUUGUGAAACUAGAAGAUGAUGAGAUAGCUACAAUGCUUUAUCAAAUACAGCAAACCAAUAAAUGUUUGGUUGUACUUGAUGACAUUCGGAAUAUUGAUGCCCGGAGAAGUUUUAGUGCCGGUUAUCCUCUUUAUAUUCAGGUAGCAAGAUACUACUAACCACUCGUAUCAAAGAAGUGGCCUUUUGUGUAGAUCCCAGAGGUUUCGUCCAUAAAGUCCCUUGUGUCUAAACUUUAAAGAGAGCUGGGAAUUGUUUGGAAAGAAAGUCUGAAGGACUGAUGGAACAGUUUUGGAUGUCUUACAGGCUACAGAACUGAUAUUUGCUUGGAAAAACUAGGGAAGGAAAUGGUAGGAGAAUGUAAUGGUUUACAAAUUGGCCAUAAUUGUGCUUGGA